GUGACCUCAAAUCAGGUAGGACUACCCGCUGAACUUAAGCAUAUCAAUAAGCGGAGGAAAAGAAACUAACAAGGAUUCCCCUAGUAACUGCGAGUGAAGCGGGAAAAGCUCAAAUUUAAAAUCUGACAGUCUUUGGCUGUCCGAGUUGUAAUCUAGAGAAGCAUUAUCCGCGCUGGACCGUGUACAAGUCUCCUGGAAUGGAGCGUCAUAGAGGGUGAGAAUCCCGUCUUUGACACGGACUGCCAGGGCUUUUGUGAUGUGCUCUCAAAGAGUCGAGUUGUUUGGGAAUGCAGCUCAAAAUGGGUGGUAAAUUCCAUCUAAAGCUAAAUAUUGGCGAGAGACCGAUAGCGAACAAGUACCGUGAGGGAAAGAUGAAAAGAACUUUGGAAAGAGAGUUAAACAGUACGUGAAAUUGCUGAAAGGGAAACGCUUGAAGUCAGUCACAUUAGCCAGGGAUCAGCCUUGCUUUUGCUUGGUGUACUUUCUGGUUGAUGGGUCAGCAUCAAUUUUGACUAUUGGAAAAAGAUUAAGGGAAUGUAGCAUCUUCGGAUGUGUUUAUAGCCCUUGGUUGCAUACAAUGGUUGGGAUUGAGGAACUCAGCAC
rnacentral:rRNA from 2 species